GUGAGUCAUCGAAUCUUUGAACGCACCUUGCGCUCCUUGGUAUUCCGAGGAGCAUGCCUGUUUGAGUGUCAUUAAAUUCUCAACUCCAAGGGUUUCACGACCUUUCGGAGAUUGGACUUGGAGGUGCUGGCCGCAUAUUGGUCGGCUCCUCUCAAAUGCAUCAGCGGAAUUCAACCUUUGGCUUCCGGAUGUCAGUGUGAUAAUCAUGUUGCGCUGUCGUUUGAUCCCUCAGAGUCCGCUUAUAAUGGUCUUCGGACAAAAUCAUCAUCAAAUUUGACCUCAAAUCAGGUAGGACUACCCGCUGAACUUAA
rnacentral:rRNA from 1 species